rnacentral:rRNA from 1 species
GUACACGCUGUGACUAGCAUAUCAAUAAGCAGGAGGAAAAGAAACUAACAAGGAUUCCCUCAGUAACGGCGAGUGAAGCGGGAAGAGCUCAAAUUUGAAAUCUUGAAAGGUCACCUUUCACGAAUUGUAGUUUAAAGAAGUGUUUUCUGUUACGAUCGUAAUAUAAGUUCUUUGGAAUAGGACAUCACAGAGGGUGAGAAUCCCGUCUAUGAUUGCGAUUUGUAGCUUUGUGAUACACUUUCAAAGAGUCGGGUUGUUUGGGAAUGCAGCCCAAAACGGGAGGUAAAUUUCUUCUAAGGCUAAAUAUUGGCGAGAGACCGAUAGCGAACAAGUACCGUGAGGGAAAGAUGAAAAGAACUUUGAAAAGAGAGUUAAAUAGUACGUGAAAUUGUCAAAAGGGAAGCGUUUAACACCAGUGUUGUUCUCUGAAAAUCAACCUCUGUUAGCUUUAUGCAUGUUUGUUUAGACCUAAUCAGCUAUCUCUCAUGUUCUAUUGUUUGCAGUGGUGCACUUUUCAGUUUACAGGUCAACAUCAGUUUUUUUUACCGUAAAAAAGUUAAAGAAAGGUAGCUCAUGGCUCCGGUCGUGAGUGUUAUAGUCUUUUUCCUAUGCGGUAGGAGAGACUGAGGUCUGCAGUGUAGGCUAUUUGGCUAGAUACUCAGGUGCUAUGUGAUACCAUUUCAUAAACAACUUGUUGAUUAUGUUUUGUCUAUUGCAUACUCGCUUGUACUAUCAUACCUACGCUUAGGAUGUUGAGUAGCGACAUACGCAC